rnacentral:rRNA from 1 species
GACGAACGCUGGUGGCGUGCUUAACACAUGCAAGUCGAACGAUGAACUUGGAGCUUGCUCUGGGGGAUUAGUGGCGAACGGGUGAGUAACACGUGAGCAACCUGCCCUGGACUCUGGGAUAACUUCGAGAAAUCGGAGCUAAUACCGGAUAGGACCUUGCACCGCAUGGUGUGGGGUGGAAAGUUUUUCGGUUUGGGAUGGACUCGCGGCCUAUCAGCUUGUUGGUGAGGUAAUGGCUCACCAAGGCGUCGACGGGUAGCCGGCCUGAGAGGGUGACCGGCCACACGGGGACUGAGACACGGCCCAGACUCCUACGGGAGGCAGCAGUGGGGAAUAUUGCACAAUGGGCGUAAGCCUGAUGCAGCAACGCCGCGUGCGGGAUGACGGCCUUCGGGUUGUAAACCGCUUUUAGUAGGGAAGAAGCCUUCGGGUGACGGUACCUGCAGAAAAAGGACCGGCUAACUACGUGCCAGCCGCCGCCGUAAGAC